rnacentral:rRNA from 1 species
GCAAGUCGAGCGACUGAUUAGAAGCUUGCUUCUAUGACGUUAGCGGCGGACGGGUGAGUAACACGUGGGCAACCUGCCUGUAAGACUGGGAUAACUCCGGGAAACCGGAGCUAAUACCGGAUAACAUUUUCUCUUGCAUAAGAGAAAAUUGAAAGAUGGUUUCGGCUAUCACUUACAGAUGGGCCCGCGGUGCAUUAGCUAGUUGGUGAGGUAACGGCUCACCAAGGCAACGAUGCAUAGCCGACCUGAGAGGGUGAUCGGCCACACUGGGACUGAGACACGGCCCAGACUCCUACGGGAGGCAGCAGUAGGGAAUCUUCCGCAAUGGACGAAAGUCUGACGGAGCAACGCCGCGUGAGUGAUGAAGGCUUUCGGGUCGUAAAACUCUGUUGUUAGGGAAGAACAAGUACAAGAGUAACUGCUUGUACCUUGACGGUACCUAACCAGAAAGCCACGGCUAACUACGUGCCAGCAGCCGCGGUAAUACGUAGGUGGCAAGCGUUAUCCGGAAUUAUUGGGCGUAAAGCGCGCGCAGGCGGUUUCUUAAGUCUGAUGUGAAAGCCCACGGCUCAACCGUGGAGGGUCAUUGGAAACUGGGGAACUUGAGUGCAGAAGAGAAAAGCGGAAUUCCACGUGUAGCGGUGAAAUGCGUAGAGAUGUGGAGGAACACCAGUGGCGAAGGCGGCUUUUUGGUCUGUAACUGACGCUGAGGCGCGAAAG